rnacentral:rRNA from 1 species
ACGGAGGGGGCCAGCGUUGUUCGGAAUUAUUGGGCGUAAAGGGCGCGUAGGCGGCCCUGUAAGUCAGGCGUGAAAUCCCUCGGCUCAACCGAGGAACUGCGUUUGAAACUGCAGGGCUUGAGUCCCGGAGAGGGUAGCGGAAUUCCCAGUGUAGCGGUGAAAUGCGUAGAUAUUGGGAGGAACACCAGUGGCGAAGGCGGCUACCUGGACGGGUACUGACGCUGAGGCGCGAAAGCGUGGGGAGCAAACAGG